GCUCCUUUUAUUGUUUAAAUUUCUUUUCAUUUUUUAUUGAGAGUUAUUUUAGCUUCUAGUUGAAUAAAGAUUUAAGCUCCUAUUUUAAGACUCAGACAUGAAGGUCAACUCAGAACUGCAGUGGAUUUAGGCCUUACAACCAACCAUUUACCCUGGAAACAUGAUAGCUGGAUCACAAAAAGUGUCUAAGGAAGAGUGAGUACAUUUAUGCAUCCAUUUUUUGUUCCUUCACAAACUUUAACAAAGAGUGUGCACACUGAAGAUUCUCAAAGGAAGUGGAUGUACAAGUUCUUCACUUCUCACAACUCCAGGAAGCUCCACUGAUCCAGCUCCAUGAGGGUAAAACUCUGUUGAAGGACAAAGAGGAAUUGUUUUAAUUCACUAUAACAGAAGUUUGCUUGUUUGUUUGUUGUUUUGGUUGAAGACAUUGCAAUGAUUCAGGGAGGCCACUAGAUGGGACUAAAGGAUAGAUUUCCUUUCCCCUCUUUUCUUUUAUAAGCCAAGGAUUUUGAAUCCAGUAUAGAACCCUUAAUCAUGUCUCUUCCCCUCCAUAAUCGCUUUACGCCUCUGAUGGAUACCACAUCUUCAGGAAGAUGUAUCUGCUCGUGCCACUGAACCCAAUGUAGUUCUCCCUGCGCCUCCUGGUGUCAACUUGGCGUUGAUUCAGGUCCAUCGUGCAGCCUCCCCGCAGCCCCGUAGGGAUGAAACUGAGAAUAUAGAAUCUGAAACGAGUGAAACACAGGGUUCCUCGAACGACGGUAGGGGAGACCCCUGUAACGGUUAACAAAAAACAGGAGGGAGAGCGACAAAUGAUGACGGGUGAUAUGACAAGAGAGAUGUCUCUUGGAAUCAAACCCCAGUCUGAGUCCCUUUCACAUACCCCUGUGAUGAGCCCUCUGGGGGGUCCUGCCCCGUCCGUUCGUCAGGAACCUGUGAGGCACAGGAGAACAAACAGGAAAAUUUUCGAUUGGGAAAUUUCAAUUAACAAAAAAGUAGUAAUAAUGGGUGAUUCGAAUCUGUCCCGAGUUCCAUUCUUCACCCAUGCUGACGUACAAAUUGACAGCUUUCCUGGGGCCACCUUUUAUCACAUUAAUGGGGUGCUGGAAAAAUUAUCACCACAACUCUUUACGGAGGUUGUCGUUCUGUCAGUGGGACUUAAUAAUUGUCUGGCAAGACAGGAAACGACAACGUCAUGUAAACAGUUACAACAGUUAUUGAGAACGUGUAGAUUGAAAUUUCCUAACGCUCAGGUCUUCGUCCCCUUGAUUAAUUUUGCUGAUGCUUUGGAAAAGGACGUACAAUUGCUUAUUGGUAAAUUGAAUGUUUU